UCUCGAUGAUGUAAUUCCAAUAGAUCCUUCUGACCCUCCGUUGUGGACUCAGUAGCGGGAGAUGAAGAGGACCAUGGCUGAGAGA
ensembl:snoRNA SNORD62 Small nucleolar RNA SNORD62